rnacentral:rRNA from 1 species
UAGGGAAUCUUCCACAAUGGACGAAAGUCUGAUGGAGCAACGCCGCGUGAGUGAUGAAGGGUUUCGGCUCGUAAAACUCUGUUGUUGGAGAAGAACAGGUGUGAGAGUAACUGUUCACAUCUUGACGGUAUCCAACCAGAAAGCCACGGCUAACUACGUGCCAGCAGCCGCGGUAAUACGUAGGUGGCAAGCGUUGUCCGGAUUUAUUGGGCGUAAAGCGAGCGCAGGCGGUUUCUUAGGUCUGAUGUGAAAGCCUUCGGCUUAACCGGAGAAGUGCAUCGGAAACCAGGAGACUUGAGUGCAGAAGAGGACAGUGGAACUCCAUGUGUAGCGGUGAAAUGCGUAGAUAUAUGGAAGAACACCAGUGGCGAAGGCGGCUGUCUGGUCUGUAACUGACGCUGAGGCUCGAAAGCAUGGGUAGCGAACAGGAUUAGAUACCCUGGUAGUCCAUGCCGUAAACGAUGAGUGCUAAGUGUUGGAGGGUUUCCGCCCUUCAGUGCUGCAGCUAAACGCAUU